GCGCGGAGGAGUGAGGCGGCACUGGGCGCUGUGCGCGAGGGAGGGGUGAGCGGGAAAACGCGGCGUGGAGCCGGGAACUGCGCCCCCGCCCCUCACACGGGGAGCGGCGCUGAGGGGCGGCUGCUGCCGCUGCUGCCUCCGCUGCCGCCUCCGCUGCCUCCCACCCCGCAGGCGGACGGGUGCGGGGGCGGCUGUGGAAGGCGAAGUUUGGGGAAAAGUUUUCCCCCGCCUCGAGGUGGAGGGCCAGGGGUCGCGGCUCGGCCCCGCCUGUUGGGACGCGUCCCUCGGCGGCAGAUAAGUCCUGGUGCAUGCUGGAAGAAGCGUGUGCUUCAGCACUGAUUAAAGUCAUGUAUGAGUUAAUGAGAAGCUUGCAGAGUAUCUGAAGCAAGAGAAAAUCUUUAACCAGCUCUGCUGUUCCCUCUACAUAGCACAAACUUGUAAGCUGUAACCAGAAGGUGGAUUGAAUAUGUGAAAUGCUGCAGUAGGAGACUCUUGUAAUUGCAUCACAGGUGGAUGCUCAAUUAAUGUGUUAUUGUCACCAUACCUAAAAGUUCGGGCUUUGUUGUUUUGUGUUUGUUUUUCUCAAAUUUCUGUAAGAUGGCAAAAUAUAUUUAAAUCCUUGGGUGCUACAAACCUACAAAGUAGUAUUUUCUGGCUUGGUUUUUAAUUUUAAACAGUGCCUUUGUUUGUUGAGAUGUUGUUUUGUUGCUUUUUUUUUCCUUUUUUUUUUUUCCCCUUUUUUUCUUUUUUUUCCCUAUGCUAACUGCUUCCUGGAUUAAUAAAUUGGUAAUACAUAAGAGACUCUCAGGUGGUGCAGGCACGCAGUGGUGUAAUAUCAACAUUCUAGUUGUGGGACUUCUAAUUUAAGAAACACAUUGCCAGAAGAAAUAAGAUCAAGGCUGAAUCUUGCUUGCAUUUAGGUCCAAAUGUAAGAUCCCCUUUCUAAGUAGUCCCCAGUGAACACUGAGGGUAAUUAAGUAAAAAUAAAACCUUUCACUUCA